ACUCUCUCCUGCUGAUGCUGCAGCUGCUGGGAUGCCAGGAGGGGAACCGCCUGAGGAAAGUGCUGAGAGAAAAGAGAGGGAGGGAUACAGACCGGGCCCAGAUGAGUUUGCGCUGAAUCUGAAGUCGAUGUUGCUUUGGUUAAAGGAAGAACACAAAUAUCCUGCCAAAAGGUAUUCUGUUCAGUGCAAAAGAAACAGUCCCACAUCCUGCUCUCUCCCACAACACACUAUGCAUUCAGGCUUAUUAUAUUUUACAUGCCCUAUGCUUACAAUUCAUUCAGAUGGAGUCUCUCUCUGUCACCCAGCCUGGAGUGCAGUGGCGCGAUCUCGGCUCACUGCAAGCUCCGCCUGCCGGGUUCACACCAUUCUCUGCCUCAGCCUCCCCAGUAGCUGGGACUACCGGCGCCCUCCACCAUGCCCAGCUAAUUUUUUGUAUUUUU
rnacentral:lncRNA from 1 species